rnacentral:lncRNA from 1 species
UAUAGAAAUAAUGCUAAUGACUGGUUUGCUGUUAAUAAAUAUGUGGGUAAAUCUCUGUUCGGGGCUCUCAGCUCUGAAGGCUGUGAGACCCCUGAUUUCCCACUUCACACCUCUGUAUUUCUGUGUGUAUGUCCUUAAUUCCUCUAGCUCCAUUGGGUUAGAGUCUCCCCGAGCGAGCUGGUCUCGGCAAGUGGCGUCCAUUCGUGGAGGCUCGAAUCCAGGUCAAAGGGUUGCUGGAGCGACGGUUGGAAUGGAAAACUAGCUGGAAGACACCCAAGUACUCUUAAAGCAAUCCCCGUGUUCUGGAGGCUGGGAAGUCCAAGGUCAAGAUGCUGACAAAUGAUGAGAGCUUUCUUGCUGCAUCCUCACAUGGAAGAAGGUGGAAGGGCAAGAGAGAAGAAACUAAUGCUAGGAAAUGCCUCUUUUAAAAGGGACUUAGUCCCAUUAACAAAGAAGCAGGUCUUAUGGCCUAAUCAUCUCAUAAAAGCACCACCUCUUAAUACUA